UGUAGCUCAGUGGUAGAGUGUUUGCCUUGCAUGUAUAAGGGUCUGGGUUAUAUUCCCAGCA
rnacentral:tRNA from 1 species